AUUGAACGCUGGCGGCCGGCCUAACACAUGCAAGUCGAGCGAGCGGCGGACGGGUGAGUAAUGUAUGGGGACUGCCCGAUAGAGGGGGCUAACUCCUGGAAACGGUGGCUACUACCGCAUACUAUCGGAUAACCCAUAUGGGAUUAGCUAGUAGGUGGGGUAAAGGCUCACCUAGGCGACGAUCUCUAGCUGGUCUGAGAGGCUGAUCAGCCACACUGGGACUGAGACACGGCCCAGACUCCUACGGAGGCAGCAGUGGGGAAUAUUGCACAAUGGGCGCAAGCCUGACGCAGCCAUGCCGCGUGUAUGAAGAAGGCCUUAGGGUUGUAAAGUACUUUCGGCGGGGAGGCGUUACCUGCAGAGGAAGCACCGGCUAACUCCGUGCCAGCAGCCGCGGUAAUUC
rnacentral:rRNA from 1 species